rnacentral:rRNA from 1 species
CGGGCGACUCCAUGAGCCGCCUUAAGGGACGUGCUGUUCCCACUCGAAAGGGUGGCCGCCAGCAGUCGGAAUGAGUACAAUUUAAACCCCUUAACGAGGAACAAUUGGAGGGCAAGUCUGGUGCCAGCAGCCGCGGUAAUUCCAGCUCCAAUAGCGUAUAUUAAAGUUGUUGCAGUUAAAAAGCUCGUAGUUGAACCUUGGGCCUGGCUGGCCGGUCCGCCUCACCGCGUGUACUGGUCCGGCCGGGCCUUUCCUUCUGGAGAUCCUCAUGCCCUUCACUGGGUGUGUUGGGGAACCAGGACUUUUACUGUGAACAAAUUAGAGUGUUCAAAGCAGGCCUUUGCUCGAAUACAUUAGCAUGGAAUAAUAGAAUAGGACGUGCGGUCCUAUUUUGUUGGUUUCUAGGACCGCCGUAAUGAUUAAUAGGGAUAGUCGGGGGCAUCAGUAUUCAAUUGUCAGAGGUGAAAUUCUUGGAUUUAUUGAAGACUAACUACUGCGAAAGCAUUUGCCAAGGAUGUUUUCAUUAAUCAGUGAACGAAAGUUAGGGGAUCGAAGACGAUCAGAUACCGUCGUAGUCUUAACCGUAAACUAUGCCGACUAGGGAUCGGGCGAUGUUUCUAUCUUGACGCGCUCGGCGCCU